CCUUGUACACACCGCCCGUCACACCACGAAAGUUGGCUGUACCAGAAGUUGCCGGGCUGACCCCGCCAGGGGGGCAGGCACCUAAGGUACGGUUGAUGAUUGGGGUG
rnacentral:rRNA from 1 species